AAGUCGUAACCAGGUUUCCGUAGGUGAACCUGCGGAAGGAUCAUUAACAACGUUAAAAUCCCCCCCGUGAACCUUCAUCCUGCUCUUGUAACCCGCGUAGUUCGCAAUCUACGAUUCCUGUAGACCGUACACUCGGGCAGGAGCUUUGCCAAAGGGUCCCCAUGCCCCCUAAUAACCCCACAGUUUAAUGUGAGGCUCAAUGUAAUACAUGGGGUAAAAAAACCGAACAACUGUUAACAAUGGAUAUCUUGGUUCUC
rnacentral:misc_RNA from 1 species